CUUUAACUGAAGUUCCCUUUAACUGAAGUUCCCUUUAACUGAAGUUCCCUUUAACUGAAGUUCCCUUUAACUGAAGUCAUCUUUAACUGAAGUUCCCUUUAACUGAAGUUCCCUUUAACUGAAGUUCCCUUUAACUGAAGUUCCCUUUAACUGAAGUUCCCUUUAAC